CAGUAGCCGCGGGAAUACAGAGGGUGCGAGCGUUAAUCGGAUUUACUGGGCGUAAAGCGUGCGUAGGCGGCUUUUUAAGUCGGAUGUGAAAUCUCUGGGCUCAACCCAGAGUCUGCAUCGGAAACUGUCGAGCUUGAGUAUGGGAGAGGUGAGUGGAAUUUCCGGUGUAGCGGUGAAAUGCGUAGAUAUCGGAAGGAACACCUGUGGCGAAAGCGGCUCACUGGACCAUUACUGACGCUGAGGCGCGAAAGCUAGGGAAGCAAACAGGAUUAGAUACCCCAGUAGUCCCUGUCUCUUAUAC
rnacentral:rRNA from 1 species